UGGGAUCGGCGGAAAAUCGCUCUGGGUAAAGCAUCCAAAGUUUUUGUAAAAAAAUUUUGACUGUUUUAUUUAGGGAGGAAAGUCCGGGCUCCGUAUGGCGACGCAAAGGGUAAUACCCUUCCACCGCAAGGUGAGGAACAGUGGAACAGAGAGAAUGUCCAGGGCAUUGAUCUUAUUGUCGGGAACGGGAGACUUUAAGGGAGCUGCUGGAGUGAAAACAGCUAAACUCUGCGUGGAGCAAGAUCAAAUAGGGAAGCAUUAGAAAGCGCGGCCAGCGCAGAGCUUCCGGGUAAGAUCGCUUGAGGGAUUUGGUGACAAAUCUCCUAGAUGAAUGAUUUUCUCCCAAGGUGCGAGGAGCCUUGGAAGACAGAACCCGGCUUAUAGCUGAUCCCACUAC
rnacentral:RNase_P_RNA from 1 species